CCCACCGCUACCAACCGGCGUCGGAACCGUCCCUCGCCGCGGAUCACACCGCCGCCACUGUCCCACGAUGGGGAUCACACCGCCGCCACUGUCCCAUGAUGGGGAUCGCGCCGUAGGCACCGUCCCACGACUGGGAUCGAGCCGCAGGUACCGUCCCAUGAUGGGGAUCACGCCACUGCAACCGCAUCGCCCCACCUCCUGCCGUCGGGAUCCUACUGCCACGCGACAACCACCGAGAUCCUCCCACCGCGGUCGCUACUCGCGCCGCGCGCAUGUGGCAGCAAACGGACGCGAUGGUUUCCUUCGACAUCAAUGACCGCAAAGAGUGGCUCGUCGGAUGGUGUUGCUGUGGAUGACGACGAUCUCGUUCUCGAUCGGAGACUGAAGAGACACGGAGAGGGGACGAGGAUCAUGUGCUCACCGUGCAACACGGCAUCACCUCUUCGCUCCGGAGCGUCGGGAUUCUUGCUAGAGAGCAUUCAGUGUAGAUCGGUCAUUGGUUUAUUUACACAUUCACCUCUUCGAUCUUACUUGAAGGGUAGAUCUUGGGAUUAAGGUUUAGAGAGAUUUGUUUCUUGUUUUUGUUGGUGUUUUCACUAACCGGAGAGUUGCAUCUUGUGGAUGAAGUGGCUUGUCAGAUGUCCUAUUUUCCUGGUUCUACCUGUUGCAUUCUGACGCCAAGGAGUUGUGGUUCAAUGUGUAUAUUACAGGAAGGAAAGAGAAACAACAUGUGUAUGACAACACGGUUGUAGUUCUUUUCUGAGUGUCUAU